rnacentral:rRNA from 1 species
CGCGAAUGGCUCAUUACAACAGCCGUUGUUCCCUUGAGACUAUGAAUACUUGGAUAACUGUGGCAAUUCUAGAGCUAAUACACGCACUGAAGCCCCGACCUUGCGGGAGGGGUGCAUUUAUUAGAACAAAACCAAUCGGGGCAACCCGUCGUUUGGUGAAUCUGAAUAACCCAGCUGAUCGCACGGUCUUUGCACUGGCGACGCAUCUUUCAAGUGUCUGCCUUAUCAACUUUCGAUGGUAGUUUAUGUGACUACCAUGGUUAUAACGGGUAACGGAGAAUCAGGGUUCGACUCCGGAGAGGGAGCCUGAGAAACGGCUACCACAUCCAAGGAAGGCAGCAGGCGCGCAAAUUACCCACUCUCAGCACGAGGAGGUAGUGACGAAAAAUAACGAGGCGGUUCUCUAUGAGGCCCGCUAUCGGAAUGAGAACAAUAUAAAUCCUUUAACGAGGAUCUAGCGGAGGGCAAGUCUGGUGCCAGCAGCCGCGGUAAUUCCAGCUCCGCCAGUGUAUAUCUAUGCUGCUGCGGUUAAAAAGCUCGUAGUUGGAUCUGCGUGCUAGGAACCGGUCCGUCCACUGAGCGUGAACUGGUCUCCGGCAUUAUACUGGCUGGUUUUCCCUCGAUGCUCUUAACCAGGUGUCUUGGGUGGCUAGCAAGUUUACUUUGAAAAAAUUAGAGUGCUCAAAACAGGCGAUUGCCUUGAAUACUAGUGCAUGGAAUAAUAGAAUAGGACUCCGGUUCUGUUUUGUUGGUUUUCGGAACACGAAGUAAUGAUUAAGAGGGACAGACGGGGGCAUUCGUACUGCGACGUUAGAGGUGAAAUUCUUGGAUCGUCGCAUGACGGACAACUGCGAAAGCAUUUGCCAAGAAUGUUUUCAUUAAUCAAGAACGAAAGUUAGAGGUUCGAAGGCGAUCAGAUACCGCCC